GACGAACGCUGGCGGCGUGCUUAACACAUGCAAGUCGAACGGAAAGGCCCUGCUUUUGUGGGGUGCUCGAGUGGCGAACGGGUGAGUAACACGUGAGUAACCUGCCCUUGACUUUGGGAUAACUUCAGGAAACUGGGGCUCAUAUCGGAUAGGAGCUCCUGCUGCAUGGUGGGGGUUGGAAAGUUUCGGCGGUUGGGGAUGGACUCGCGGCUUAUCAGCUUGUUGGUGGGGUAGUGGCUUACCAAGGCUUUGACGGGUAGCCGGCCUGAGAGGGUGACCGGCCACAUUGGGACUGAGAUACGGCCCAGACUCCUACGGGAGGCAGCAGUGGGAAAUAUGGCGCAAUGGGGGGAAGCCUGAGGCAGCGACGCCGCGUGCGUGAUGACGGCCUUCGGGUGGUAAACAGCUGUCGCCUGUGACGAAGCGUGAGUGACGGUAAUGAGUAAAGAAGCACCGGCUAACUACGUG
rnacentral:rRNA from 1 species